UUUAAGAUCUAAUCAUAAAUACAUAAGUAAAUGAUCUUUUAUUAGAGAUUAGCAUUUAAUAAGUGUCUCUCUACUUUUUCGAAGGUAAGCGGUAUGGACUGCGUACAUUUUACCCUCCCUAGACCUCACUUUGUGGGAAUACACUAGGUGUGUUGUUGUUGUUGUAGCAUAUAAUAAGUGAUUAUAACUUUUCGAAUCACUUCUUAAAUGCAGUGUUGUCACUCUUUUAGUUCGUGCAUAAAAUCAAUAAAACCUAUGAAUUUUUAAAUUUAUGUGCAAGAAAAAGAACGUGUGUUAAAUGUCUGUUUUGAA
rnacentral:lncRNA from 1 species